rnacentral:rRNA from 1 species
AUUAAAGUUGUUGCCGUUAAAAAGCUCGUAGUUGAACCUUGGGCCUGGCUGAUCUGUACUCCUAAUCGAGCGCACGGAUUCGGUCGGGCCUUUCCUUCUGGGGAGCCCGAUGCCCUUCACUGGGUGUCGCGGGGAACCAGGACUUUUACCUUGAAAAAAUUAGAGUGUUCAAAGCAGGCCUUUGCUCGAAUACAUUAGCAUGGAAUAAUAGAAUAGGACAGAGGUUCUAUUUUGUUGGUUUCUAGGACCGCUGUAAUGAUUAAUAGGGAUAGUCGGGGGCGUCCGUAUUCAAUUGUCAGAGGUGAAAUUCUUGGAUUUAUUGAAGACGAACUACUGCGAAAGCAUUCGCCAAGGAUGUCUUCAUUAAUCAGUGAACGAAAGU